rnacentral:rRNA from 1 species
UUGAACGCUGGCGGCAGGCCUAACAUAUGCCAGUCGAACGGUAACAGGAAACAGCUUGCUGUUUCGCUGACGAGUGGCGGACGGGUGAGUAAUGUCUGGGAAACUGCCUGAUGGAGGGGGAUAACUACUGGAAACGGUAGCUAAUACCGCAUAACGUCGCAAGACCAAAGAGGGGGACCUUCGGGCCUCUUGCCAUCGGAUGUGCCCAGAUGGGAUUAGCUAGUAGGUGGGGUAACGGCUCACCUAGGCGACGAUCCCUAGCUGGUCUGAGAGGAUGACCAGCCACACUGGAACUGAGACACGGUCCAGACUCCUACGGGAGGCAGCAGUGGGGAAUAUUGCACAAUGGGCGCAAGCCUGAUGCAGCCAUGCCGCGUGUAUGAAGAAGGCCUUCGGGUUGUAAAGUACUUUCAGCGGGGAGGAAGGGAGUAAAGUUAAUACCUUUGCUCAUUGACGUUACCCGCAGAAGAAGCACCGGCUAACUCCGUG